UUUGCGACGCGGAGGGACAUUGCUGGAACGCGCCCCAGGCGCACCCAGAAACCCUUUGUGAACUCAUACCUUACUGUUGCCUCGGCGCUAGCUGGUCCUCCGGGGCCCCUCUCCGGAGGAGCAGGCACGCCGGCGGCCAAGUUAACUCUUGUUUUUACACUGAAACUCUGAGAAAUAAAACAUAAAUGAAUCAAAACUUUCAACAACGGAUCUCUUGGUUCUGGCAUCGAUGAAGAACGCAGCGAAAUGCGAUAAGUAAUGUGAAUUGCAGAAUUCAGUGAAUCAUCGAAUCUUUGAACGCACAUUGCGCCCUCUGGUAUUCCGGAGGGCAUGCCUGUUCGAGCGUCAUUUCAACCCUCAAGCCUGGCUUGGUGAUGGGGCACUGCUUCUUACCCAGGAAGCAGGCCCUGAAAUUCAGUGGCGAGCUCGCCAGGACCCCGAGCGCAGUAGUUAAACCCUCGCUCUGGAAGGCCCUGGCGGUGCCCUGCCGUUAAACCCCCAACUUUUGAAAAUUUGACCUCGGAUCAGGUAGGAAUACCCGCUGAACUUAAGCUAUA
rnacentral:rRNA from 1 species